AGAGUUUGAUCAUGGCUCAGGACGAACGCUGGCGGCGGGCUUAACACAUGCAAGUCGAACGCGUCGGGGGUACUUCGGUAUUUCCGGCGAGUGGCGCACGGGUGAGUAACGCGUAGGCAACCUGCCUUUGAGUGGGGAAUAACCCCGGGAAACCGGGGCUAAUACCGCAUGACGUCCGGAUCCGCAUGGAUUCCGGAUUAAAGCUUUCGGGCGCUCAGAGAUGGGCCUGCGUUGGAUUAGCUAGUUGGUGAGGUAACGGCUCACCAAGGCUGCGAUCCAUAGCUGGUCUGAGAGGAUGAUCAGCCACACUGGCACUGAGACACGGGCCAGACUCCUACGGGAGGCAGCAGUGAGGAAUAUUGCGCAAUGGACGAAAGUCUGACGCAGCCACGCCGCGUGCAGGAUGACACCCCUACGGGGCGUAAACUGCUUUUUUGUGGGAAGAACAUUUCCGAUGCGUCGGAAGCUGACGGUACCGCAAGAAUAAGGACCGGCUAACUCCGUGCCAGCAGCCGCGGUAAUACGUAGGAUCCAAGCGUUGUCCGGAUUUACUGGGUGUAAAGGGUGCGUAGGCGGAUAUGUGCGUCAGAGGUUAAAUGUCACAGCUCAACUGUGAACCUGCCUUUGAUACGGCAUAUCUGGAGUGUGAGAGAGGAUGGUAGAAUUCCUGGUGUAGCGGUGAAAUGCGUAGAUAUCAGGAGGAAUACCAGUGGCGAAGGCGGCCAUCUGGCUCACAACCGACGCUGAGGCACAAAAGCGUGGGGAGCAA
rnacentral:rRNA from 1 species